rnacentral:rRNA from 1 species
CAGCACCUCAAGUGGUCAGGAUGAUUAUUGGGCCUAAAGCAUCCGUAGCCGGCGCUGUAAGUUUUCGGUUAAAUCUGUACGCUCAACGUACAGGCUGCCGGGAAUACUGCAGCGCAAGGGAGUGGGAGAGGUAGACGGUACUCGGUAGGAAGGGGUAAAAUCCUUUGAUCUAUUGAUGACCACCUGUGGCGAAGGCGGUCUACCAGAACACGUCCGACGGUGAGGGAUGAAAGCUGGGGGAGCAAACCGGAUUAGAUACCCGUGUAGUCC